rnacentral:misc_RNA from 1 species
GAUGAAGAACGUAGUGAAAUGCGAUAAGUAAUGUGAAUUGCAGAAUUCAGUGAAUCAUCGAAUCUUUGAACGCACAUUGCGCCCCUUGGUAUUCCGGGGGGCAUGCCUGUUCGAGCGUCAUUAUAACCCCUCAAGCUCAGCUUGGUGUUGGGGCCUGCCGACUGGCAGCCCUUAAAAUCAGUGGCGGCGCCAUCUGGCUCUAAGCGUAGUAAUUUCUCUCGCUAUAGAGUCCCGGUGGAUGCUUGCCAGCAACCCCCAAUUUUUACAGGUUGACCUCGGAUCAGGUAGGGAUACCCGCUGAACUUAAGCAUAUCAAUAAGCGGAGGA